UGGUUUGGGUUGGAAGGGAUCCCAUGGAUGCCCCACAGCAUCAUGCCCAGCAUCCAGACAGAAGAAAGCUGGCCAGGAUCGGUCAGCGCCUGAGUUAGGCACCACUUGUUUUAUCCCAUGUGUUGCUUCAGUGAAAGUUUGCUCAGCAAUACAAAGGGAGAAGAGGAUGUCACUUGACAGAGUGAAGAGUUUGGUAUUUUGACAUUGGAUGAAAACUGAGUGUUGGAAACUCAUUCUCAGAGGGGAUGGAGUCUGAGGUGUGGACAACUUCACAUGAAGCUUUUCAGCUAACUCUAAUACAAAAUGUAGCUGGACUUCUCUUUUUGGUAUCAGGAAGAAGUGAUAAUAAAAUCUUAGGUAACAGAA